GGAGAUACUCACGGCUGGUUAUUGACGUCCUUGUGAGCGUAGGGGGUACCAUCGAGAGGUUGAAGCACAGUGUGGGUUCCGAUUUAAAAGGUCGGCCCGCAGUUAUAUUUGCUACCUGGACCUCAGCUGUCUAUGGGCUCCAGCAUCCACAUAUCAUACGAAGCGAGGAGCUCGACGACCAGUCUCAACCAGCGCAAUAACCAUUACUUUCAUCAAAUCUUUUUUUAAUUUUAUUGCGACUGUGGGCAGACGAGCAUACAGCCCACUUGAUGUUGAGUGAUUACUGUUGCUCAUAGAUGUUAGCAAUGCCAGGAGCAGAGCCCAGCUGCUGCCUACCGUUUAAUACUCUCCACAGGCCUCGUUUGAAGAAGAAAAUGUCAUAAGGAGCUCAUUCCAAAGCUAGAUGGUACGUGGCAAAAAAGAUAUCUGGAAACGCAUUGUGGAUGACCACAGAGGCUCCAGAUACUAUGAAUGAAAUCUACUCCGGUAGCGGGCGGUGCGAUGGUAAAAACGAAAUGAUAGUAUCAUCUCAAACAAUUCACUAAUUAUUUAAUUUUACUUCAAUGUUGCAACAAUCACCAUUAAAUAAUAACCCUACAGUUCAUUUCUUAUCUCGACUAGGUCAGAAAACACAUUCAUUAUGAACGUAAUCUCGCUUCGUUCGUCAACUGUAUACAUAGGUAUAUAAUAAUAUGUAAUUUAUUUGUUAAUAUUUGACCAACGAGUAACCGUGUGUGUUAUAAUGUAUUGUAUGGUCAAGCGUAAAUUCAGUGCACCUUACAAGUUAUUUUUUAUUUAUUUAUUUAUGUACACACAAAAAAGAAGACAGAGUAAUAGGAAAUUAUGUACAAAGGCACUGCUUAUUUCUUUAAGAAAUCUCUUUCAGCAGACCUGCGAGAGGAUUAUGAGAAUAAUAAUUAAAAGUGAUGAGUGUGUGUAGAACAGGUGUCGUCCGUGAACAUGUGCUAAAUACGGAUUUCAUUACAAAAGUCGGUCUUGCGUGCGGGGCCGGCGCGAUGCACCUUAUCCCGAGAGCACUACGUACUAAAUUCGUGCGACAGUGAGGCGACACAGCGUGGGAGCAUUAAAGGAAAUGGGAUAAACAGAUCACGAGCUCUGAAGCUUUAUGGCUCGAGCUUCACAAAUGAUACAAUAUUCCGUUCUAUACGGAACCAUGUCGUUAUAAAGUACGAACUAAUCGAGAUCAUAAUAUGUUUAUGACGUCAGAGAACUGGUUUUUUUCCCCCUACCUAAGCAGUUCCUUGAGUGGCUAUAUCAGCGUAACCUUAACUAGUAGAUGAGCUCACGGGGCUCAAACCUGACGACGUUGCUAACAUGAACCCUAGCAAGAGCCGUGCUUCGCAGAAUCUACCACCGCAUCGGAAACGCGAUCCACUGAGAAGAUCCGGCGAGAAACUCAGUGGGCUGUGUCUGUGGGUUAAUUUAGUCGCCGAGCCCUUCGUCGCAAGCGACGGGUAGAGAACUGUAAUAACUAUGCAAGUGUAUAUUCGUUGGUUUUCAAUAUAUUGUUUAAUAUUGUGA